GCUCCCGGCCGNNANGGCGGCCCGCGGGNNNUCGAUUAGAGUUUGAUCCUGGCUCAGGACGAACGCUGGCGGCGUGCUUAACACAUGCAAGUCGAACGAUGAACUGGAGCUUGCUCCAGGGAUUAGUGGCGAACGGGUGAGUAACACGUGAGUAACCUGCCCUUGACUCUGGGAUAAGCGCUAGAAAUGGCGUCUAAUACCGGAUACGAGCUUCAGCCGCAUGGCUAGGAGUUGGAAAGAAUUUUGGUCAAGGAUGGACUCGCGGCCUAUCAGCUAGUUGGUGAGGUAAUGGCUCACCAAGGCGACGACGGGUAGCCGGCCUGAGAGGGUGACCGGCCACACUGGGACUGAGACACGGCCCAGACUCCUACGGGAGGCAGCAGUGGGGAAUAUUGCACAAUGGGCGAAAGCCUGAUGCAGCAACGCCGCGUGAGGGAUGACGGCCUUCGGGUUGUAAACCUCUUUUAGUAGGGAAGAAGCGAAAGUGACGGUACCUGCAGAAAAAGCACCGGCUAACUACGUGCCAGCAGCCGCGGUAAUACGUAGGGUGCAAGCGUUGUCCGGAAUUAUUGGGCGUAAAGAGCUCGUAGGCGGUUUGUCGCGUCUGCUGUGAAAUCUGGGGGCUCAACCCCCAGCCUGCAGUGGGUACGGGCAGACUAGAGUGCGGUAGGGGAGAUUGGAAUUCCUGGUGUAGCGGUGGAAUGCGCAGAUAUCAGGAGGAACACCGAUGGCGAAGGCAGAUCUCUGGGCCGUAACUGACGCUGAGGAGCGAAAGCAUGGGGAGCGAACAGGAUUAGAUACCCUGGUAGUCCAUGCCGUANACGUUGGGAACUAGAUGUGGGGGCCAUUCCACGGUCUCCGUGUCGCAGCUAACGCAUUAAGUUCCCCGCCUGGGGAGUACGGCCGCAAGGCUAAAACUCAAAGGAAUUGACGGGGGCCCGCACAAGCGGCGGAGCAUGCGGAUUAAUUCGAUGCAACGCGAAGAACCUUACCAAGGCUUGACAUAUACCGG
rnacentral:rRNA from 1 species